UGGGGAAUAUUGCACAAUGGGCGCAAGCCUGAUGCAGCAACGCCGCGUGAGGGACGACGGCCUUCGGGUUGUAAACCUCUUUUGGCAGGGAAGAAGCGAAAGUGACGGUACCUGCAGAAAAAGCACCGGCUAACUACGUGCCAGCAGCCGCGGUGAUACGUAGGGUGCAAGCGUUGUCCGGAAUUAUUGGGCGUAAAGAGCUCGUAGGCGGUUUGUCGCGUCUGCUGUGAAAACCCGAGGCUCAACCUCGGGCCUGCAGUGGGUACGGGCAAACUAGAGUGCGGUAGGGGAGAUUGGAAUUCCAGGUGUAGCGGUGGAAUGCGCAGAUAUCAGGAGGAACACCGAUGGCGAAGGCAGAUCUCUGGGCCGUAACUGACGCUGAGGAGCGAAAGCAUGGGGAGCGAACA
rnacentral:rRNA from 1 species